GGGUUGUGAGGUUAAGCGACUAAGCGUACACGGUGGAUGCCCUGGCAGUCAGAGGCGAUGAAGGGCGUGCUAAUCUGCGAUAAGCGCCGGUAAGGUGAUAUGAACCGUUAUAACCGGCGAUACCCGAAUGGGGAAACCCAGUGUGACUCGUCACACUAUCAUUAACUGAAUCCAUAGGUUAAUGAGGCGAACCGGGGGAACUGAAACAUCUAAGUACCCCGAGGAAAAGAAAUCAACCGAGAUUCCCCCAGUAGCGGCGAGCGAACGGGGAGGAGCCCAGAGCCUGAAUCAGCAUGUGUGUUAGUGGAAGCGUCUGGAAAGGCGCGCGAUACAGGGUGAUAGCCCCGUACACAAAAGCGCAUGUGUUGUGAGCUCGAUGAGUAGGGCGGGACACGUGGUAUCCUGUCUGAAUAUGGGGGGACCAUCCUCCAAGGCUAAAUACUCCUGACUGACCGAUAGUGAACCAGUACCGUGAGGGAAAGGCGAAAAGAACCCCGGCGAGGGGAGUGAAAAAGAACCUGAAACCGUGUACGUACAAGCAGUGGGAGCACAG
rnacentral:rRNA from 1 species